AACUUUUAACAACGGAUCUCUUGGUUCUGGCAUCGAUGAAGAACGCAGCGAAAUGCGAUAAGUAAUGUGAAUUGCAGAAUUCAGUGAAUCAUCGAAUCUUUGAACGCACAUUGCGCCCGCCAGCAUUCUGGCGGGCAUGCCUGUUC
rnacentral:rRNA from 1 species